rnacentral:rRNA from 1 species
GACAGAGGGUGCAAACGUUGUUCGGAAUUACUGGGCGUAAAGCGUGUGUAGGCGGUCCACUAAGUCGGAUGUGAAAGCCCCGGGCUCAACCCGGGAAGUGCACUCGAAACUGGUGGGCUAGAGUAUCGGAGAGGUUGGUGGAAUUCUCGGUGUAGAGGUGAAAUUCGUAGAUAUUAGGAAGAACACCGGUGGCGAAGGCGGCAUCCUGGACCGGCAUUGACGCUGAGGCGCGAAAGUCAGGGGAGCAAACGGG